GCUUCACUAGAGGAUCGGGGUGCGCAACAUUAGCUAGUUGGUAAGGUAAAGGCUUACCAAGGCGAUGAUGUUUAACGGGGUUGAGAGACUGAACCGUCACACUGGGACUGAGAUACGGCCCAGACUCCUACGGGAGGCAGCAGUAGGGAAUUUUCCACAAUGGGCGAAAGCCUGAUGGAGCGACACAGCGUGCAGGAUGAAGGCCUUCGGGUUGUAAACUGCUGUUAUUUAGGAUGAAAAAAUAAAUGAGGAAAUGCAUUUAUCUUGACAGUACUAAAUCAGAAAGCAACGGCUAACUAUGUGCCAGCAGCCGCGGUAAUACAUAGGUUGCAAGCGUUAUCCGGAAUUAUUGGGCGUAAAGCGUCUGUAGGUUGUGUGUUAAGUCUGGCGUCAAAACUUGGGGCUCAACCCCAAAUCGCGUUGGAUACUGGCACGCUAGAAUUGUGUAGAGGUUAACGGAAUUCCUUGUGAAGCGGUGAAAUGCGUAGAUAUAAGGAAGAACAUCAACAUGGCGAAGGCAGUUAACUGGGCACAUAUUGACACUGAGAGACGAAAGCGUGGGGAGCAAACAGGAUUAGAUACCCUGGUAGUCCACGCCGUAAACGAUGAUGAUUAGCUGAUGGAAACCAUCGGCGCAGCUAACGCAUUAAAUCAUCCGCCUGAGUAGUAUGCUCGCAAGAGUGAAACUUAAAGGAAUUGACGGGGAUCCGCACAAGCGGUGGAGCAUGUGGUUUAAUUUGAAGAUACGCGUAGAACCU
rnacentral:rRNA from 1 species